rnacentral:rRNA from 1 species
UACGUAGGGGGCAAGCGUUGUCCGGAAUUAUUGGGCGUAAAGAGCUCGUAGGCGGUUUGUCACGUCUGCCGUGAAAGUCCGGGGCUCAACUCCGGAUCUGCGGUGGGUACGGGCAGACUAGAGUGAUGUAGGGGAGACUGGAAUUCCUGGUGUAGCGGUGAAAUGCGCAGAUAUCAGGAGGAACACCGAUGGCGAAGGCAGGUCUCUGGGCAUUAACUGACGCUGAGGAGCGAAAGCAUGGGGAGCGAACAGG